AUGCUCAACACUAGUACAGUUCCUAAAUUGAAUUAAGAUAGAUUUGGUUCUCACAUUCAAACAUCAUAUGUUCGUUGGAAAGGGCAUGGGAAGUCUAAUUAAUAUCAAUAAUUGUUGGAUCCGCAGCAUCCCAACAUUCUCAUUCUCAAAUUCGAUUUCCCAAGAUUGCAGCAAAAAUAGAUUCACGGCGCAGGUGUACGAGGCAGCGACGUCGUGGUCUGGCGUUUGUUUGGCACGUUUACGUUUGGCGGAUGAAUGUCACUGUUGCCAGGAAGUCAACGACAACUAGUCCCUGCCCAUGACUCGCCGCCUCCCCUGGUUUAAUUUUAUGAAUACCAAUAAUACUUUGAUUUGUUUACAUGUUCACCGGCGAAUGGUCUUCUGUUACCCCUUGAUCCGCUCGUCGUCUUCGAUCGUGUCCUUCAAAAAAUUGAUUGAGAAUCUGUCAUGGAUGGAGAUGGUGAUGGUGGUAGAGCAAGUGGGAUGUUUUCAAAUGUGCGCAAUUUUCUGCGGAGGUGCUUGUUUUCUAUCCUUUCUGUUGGUCCAAUCCCUAAUCACAUUGCCUUCAUCAUGGAUGGAAACAGAAGAUAUGCUACGAAGAUGAAUCUGGUAGAAGGAGCAGGGCACAAUUUUGGUUUCUCUGCUCUAGCACACAUGCUGAGGUACUGCUACGAACUAGGUGUGAAAUAUGUAACCGUAUAUGCCUUCAGCAUUGACAAUUUUAAAAGAAAGCCCGAAGAAGUUCAAUCUCUGAUGCAUUUGAUGCAAGAGAAGUUGGAAGUGUUGAUCAAGGAAGAGAGCGUAGUGAACCAGUAUGAAGUCAGAGUUCAUUUUGCGGGAAACCUUAAGCUCUUGGCAGAACCUACCAGGCAGGCAGCUGAGAGGGCAAUGGCUGCAACAGCCAAGAACACUAAAGCUGUACUGUCAGUCUGUGUUGCGUAUACUUCUACCAAUGAGAUAACACAUGCUAUUCAAGAGUCUUUUGAGGAAAAAUGGAAUGAGAUUCGGGAACAGGAUGAAAGUGGAGCUUGCUGUGGUUUAGACGGGUCGUCUCGAGGGAAAGAAAAGGUUCAGGGUGACUGUCUUAUUGAUAUGGUGGAUAUAGAGAAGCACAUGUAUAUGGCAAUUGCACCCAACCCUGACGUUAUAAUUCGAACUUCUGGUGAGACCCGCCUGAGCAAUUUUCUUCUUUGGCAGAGCACUUGCAGCUAUUUGUAUUCUCCCUCUGCCCUUUGGCCAGAUAUUGGUUUACGGCAUUUGGUUUGGGCAAUCUUAAACUUCCAACGAAACCAUUCUUAUCUGGACAAGAAGAAGCAUCAAGCAAGUCUAGAUCAAAGUCUAGAUCAUAAUGUGGCUUCAGAUUCAGAUGUUCAAGACUUUAGUGUGUGAUUAUUCUCUUGGCUUGUGCUCCAGCAAGUCUUUCAAGCAACAACAUAUUUCAACAGACUGCUAGUAGAUUAGUGGCCAUUUGAUGGCCAAUGGUGAUUGCCCAGGUGAUGCACCGAGAUCUUGCAGAAAGUUGAGAAGGCUCUUGAGAGGAGCAAGUACAUGUACAAAGAAGAAUGCCAACUGUAGUUACAAUGGGGGAAAUAUGAUUUCAGCUUCCUUUCCUUCUUUUGUGGAUGUUCGAGGAUAAUUUUCCUUUCAGCAGUAGAACUUGAAUUAGUCUCAGUUCUGCAUCUCCACAUAAUUUGGGUAUCAAAAUAGCCUCAUAAGAGCAUGCCAAACUGCUUUCCCUGCAGGCGUUGUGCCCUGAACAGGUGACAAUCGUAUAUAAUACAAGUUUACAUGCUUGUGUUGAUUAUUGUUGAAGGCUUACUAUGUGAUGCCAGUUUUUGGUGUUCCAGGUGGUCAUAUGUUCCCUGAAUGUAAGCAUGCUAAUGGAUCUAUUUGCUGGCAUGAAACCGUGCCGUCUCUUAUCAGACCCACCCUUCACUGACAUGCUUUAGCUACUGGGAGAAUGACCUUGGGCACUGCCACAAUUUCUUUGAAAUAGGAUUGAAUAGAGGAAUUCUGGAACAUUUGGCAAUCUCAGAAGUGUCAAUAUCAAUGGUGACUCAUUAUUUGAAUGAAUCAUUCCUUCGGACAGAAGAGGAUUAUGUAUACACAUCUAAUGAAGACAAAAUUUUUCCUGAAGUAUAUUCCAUGAUAUAUCCAAUCCACAUAUGCAAUCUCCAUUUGCUGGCAUUUCUUGAAGAUGAGAGAUGACUCUCUAGUUCCAAAUGACAGGGAAGAAAGCUGUUCUCAACUUCUUUCCAUACUUUUGUGGAUGAUCAAGGAUAGGCUAGAUUUUAUAGGUGAUGUGUGACUGACUGCUGUUUUUGGGUAUUGGGGAUCUGCAUAUGCAUUCUAUGCUUAAACUGCAAUCUGCUGAUGAUGUCUUGCUGUGGAUCAUUCAAUUGAGCAACCAUUUUAAAAGCAGCGCAUUGGAGUUCAUCUUUGUUUCAAGAAGGAUAAGUUUACUACUAACUUGGCUGAGUUCCCUGGUUGUGCACAUCUUUUUUCAAAAGGAAGUUUGGCUUCUUCUUCUUCUUCAGUGAAAGAAUGUUUUGGGGUCAAGUAGAAGAAGGUUACCUGGUUUGUUAUUUUUGUUUUAACCCCUUUACAAAAGCUAAAGUCCUUACGCUAGAUAUAGAGGAUCCGUAUGCUGGCAGCUUGUUGUUUUCCAUCCUCCACAGCUGUCCACUCCAUGAGUUUCCUUAUAAAGCAGGGCAAACCUCGUGGAGUUAUCCUUAUGAGAAUAGCAUGCCCAGGUGAUCAAGUUUGAACAGAACAUUCUUAUGUUGGUCAUUGUGGGUGCAAUUUGAUGGAUUCAAUUGCUUGAACUAUGAUGCAGCUGGCUCAUUGCUUCAGUUUCAGUGGAAGAAUGACUAAUUAUUAUAUGGUGAACCGUGCAUGGUUAGAGCUACCUGGAUUGGCAGGAUGUUCACUUGUUGGAGCAUCAAAGGAAGAUUGUUUUACCCCCCAAAAAAAAAAAAAACUUUGGGCCCAAUACCAACUCAUUCAACAUCUUUGGGCAAAAUGACACUCAGUUUGCAUGGGAGAAGUUGAGCUACGACAAUGUGGAGAAGACAAGUUCAUUUUCACUGGAUGACUGAGCUAGUUCUUGUCGCUCAAUUUCACUGCCAUUGUGUUGUAAUUAUUGUUAUGCAAAUCAAUGUCAUUGAUCAUGUUCGUUUUGUUGAUAUAUUUGAAAUAGUAGUUUGUGGCUAAAUUUUAGCAUUUAUUUUCCAUUAAAAAUGUUUUGGAGAUUGUAAUAGUGGCCUCUCCACCCUAGAGGAAGGAGAAAAGCUCUCGACCAAGAAAAAUUAUUUUUAGACAUGAGAAUGUAAUUGUAAUAUGUGCGCGUGAG